CUGAAUAUACUGAAUAACUAGAAAUAUUUACCCUCGACCUGCCUUUGUCCUAGAGAUCCGGGAGGGGAGGUGUGCGCCCUGCCCUUUAAAGUUGUGGUCAUGUCUAGGAGGAAGGAUUGGCUUCGAAUUUAGGGCUUCCCAGGAGCAGGCCCUCUUUGUCUCUCUACUAUUUCCUCGAGGGACCACAGGGCGCCGCCUCGCAAGCUCUUGUUUUCUAACCCCACCUUCUGGGAGCCGUGUUUUCCAGCCUGAUUCUAAAAACGGGAGAGGGGCUUUCCGUUUCUUCUGGCAAGGAGUAUGCUUGGCUUUAGGCCUGCUUUGUAAUGUAGGUUGGAAUCUGAGAAGCCCAACACCUUUCCAGCUGCCCCUUCAGAACCAGAAUUUAUUUCCUAUUCCUUUGCAUUCAAUUAACAUCUGAUUGGCGAUGUUAACAAUCUCCAGCCAGCAGGAGCCUGCCAGAGAGUGAGGUGUCCCCAGGCGAUGUCAGAUAGCCAUAGAUGAGCUCCUGGUGCUUGUAGAUCCUGUUUCCUGUAGUCUAACUGCCACCCAUUUCAAGUCUGUUUUUUAGCCCUGGAGAUGGUGACUAGGGAGACGAAGGGGACCUGUUUUGACUUAUGUCCGUGGUCUUGUGAAUUUUAAUAUAGAGGUCAAAACCAAUUGCCAUGCACUCCAGGAGGCUAACAUUUAAUUAUCUGUAACUCAAUUAUUUAUAAUUUUUCUUGACCAAAGUGAGCCAAAACCUGGGAUUCUAAAAUCUAGAAUGAAAUAUUCUUGUUGUGAUGAUAUGUCUCAUAAUGGGAUUUGUCCCACGUGUAACUAAUAUUCUCCACCUGCCUAUUCAGGGCGAGUAGCUAUUUCAGAUGUUGCCGUUUAUCAACUUCCUUACUCAUCACUAUAGCCUCUGCUGACACUGUUGAAAACCUCUUUUGUGACAUCACCAACCUAAUCUGUAUUCCAUGCCUCUAGCAAAAUAUUUUGCCUUUUCUGCAACCUAGAAUCAACCUACAAUCUCUGAAAAAGAAAACCAAUUUUAGCUUAGGCCAAUGUUGGUGUCAGUGGCCUUCUAUCAGUUAAUGAGAACGAGAAAGGAACCGAGCAUCCAGAGAGAUAGAUUUUUAACAUACUUCUAUGUGGGAGGUUUUUCUUUUCGUCUUCUUCUUCUUCUUUUUUUUUUUUUGUUUUUUUCUCCUAUGUCUGAUUUCCUUACAUGACAGGACUGAGGCACCGAGAAAGAGGAGAAACAGUAGCAAGGAGUGUCUUCUGGACUUGAUGCUUGGGUGAACAGAACCAAGGUUGAUGAGUGCUACCUGUGUUCUAUCUCAGCAAUGCCUGGCAGAAGUUUUUCUCUCUCCCUGUGCCCUCCAGGGUGUUGUGGUGGUUGUUGCAGCCUUCUCUUCCUGUACUCUGUUCCGUUCUGCAUGAUCCCUCUUCUCUCCAGGCAUGAAAAUCAACGUGGUUAAUGUUAGUAAAGUCUAGCAGCGGGGACAAUAGAAUUCACAGCUAAGUUGAGGUCAGAGAAGGAGCAGAAUCCCACAGGGGUAAAAUGACACCAGGAGUAAAAUCUUACCACAAUUUCAAUUCCAAGAACACUUAGUCAACAUUUAUUUAUGUAAAAUGUGCUAAGUGUCUGCAACUAGAAAUCUAUCUUAAUCUUCACAAUCCUGAGAGGCUGAACUCAGAGACCCAAGAUGAGAGAGGACAAGGCACAGGAAGAGUGAAGAGGGGAACAGUUGUUGACUUCUUACUGUGCCAAGCACUGUACAAAGUGCUUUGGUAUCUCCAAUAAACUUCAGAAUUAUUUUUUAAAAAAUAAUUACUCUCAUUUCAUUAACUAACUUACCUAAAGUCACUCUGAAUAUGGAGGUGAAUUUGGGUUUUUCUCAUUUCCAAGCUUAAGCCUUUUUCCAUUGCAUCACACUGCCAGCCCCUGCCAUCCCCACCAGCAAGGAUCUGUGGCUGAUCUUGGAGAGUAUCUGAAGCAACAAGCCCAGUGCUCCUUAUGCAUCAAUGCCAACCAGAAGUUUGUUGAUUGAUUUUAAACCACAAUUAUUCUCCAGACAUUAAUCUUUAAAUCACAAAAACAGGUUCAUUGGUUUCUCUCAUCUGUACAAUUAAAAAGCUCCAUUGAGAGAGGGAACUAAAGGGUAUCUGUUGGUUAAAUUUGUCAUCUCAGUGGAUUCCUGUGAGGCUUAAAACCAAAGUUUUAUCUGGAAAAUAAACCAAAGGAAUCAAUAUUUUCAAAAUCCAAGCCAACCAGCUUUCUGUGAGUUUUAUAAUAUCAUCGGUGCAUACAACUCAUUUGGGGUUUGUCAUUUAAUUCCUGUGUGUUCCUUUGGGAUGCUAGCUUUAGUCUGCAAAUCAGAUUAACUGGGCUCAAAUCAGCUGUCAGGUGGUAAAAAAUAAUUUCGAAUUCAUAGG
rnacentral:lncRNA from 1 species